UACGUAGGGUGCAAGCGUUGUCCGGAAUCACUGGGCGUAAAGGGCGCGUAGGCGGCCUGAUAAGUAGGGGGUGAAAUCCUGCGGCUUAACCGCAGGGCUGCCUUCUAAACUGUCAGGCUCGAGCACAGUAGAGGCAGGUGGAAUUCCCGGUGUAGCGGUGGAAUGCGUAGAGAUCGGGAAGAACAUCAGUGGCGAAGGCGGCCUGCUGGGCUGUUGCUGACGCUGAGGCGCGACAGCGUGGGGAGCAAACAGG
rnacentral:rRNA from 1 species